rnacentral:rRNA from 1 species
AGUGAACGCUGGCGGUAGGCCUAACACAUGCAAGUCGAACGGCAGCGCAGUAAGAGCUUGCUCUUACGGGUGGCGAGUGGCGGACGGGUGAGGAAUACAUCGGAAUCUACUUUUUCGUGGGGGAUAACGUAGGGAAACUUACGCUAAUACCGCAUACGACCUACGGGUGAAAGCAGGGGAUCUUCGGACCUUGCGCGAUUGAAUGAGCCGAUGUCGGAUUAGCUAGUUGGCGGGGUAAAGGCUCACCAAGGCGACGAUCCGUAGCUGGUCUGAGAGGAUGAUCAGCCACACUGGAACUGAGACACGGUCCAGACUCCUACGGGAGGCAGCAGUGGGGAAUAUUGGACAAUGGGCGCAAGCCUGAUCCAGCCAUACCGCGUGGGUGAAGAAGGCCUUCGGGUUGUAAAGCCCUUUUGUUGGGAAAGAAAAGCAGCAGGUUAAUACCCCGCUGUUCUGACGGUACCCAAAGAAUAAGCACCGGCUAACUUCGUG